rnacentral:rRNA from 1 species
CACGUGAGUAACCUGCCCUUGACUCUGGGAUAAGCGCUGGAAACGGCGUCUAAUACCGGAUACGACCUGCCCCGGCAUCGGGUGCGGGUGGAAAGUUUUUCGGUCAAGGAUGGACUCGCGGCCUAUCAGGUAGUUGGUGAGGUAAUGGCUCACCAAGCCGACGACGGGUAGCCGGCCUGAGAGGGUGACCGGCCACACUGGGACUGAGACACGGCCCAGACUCCUACGGGAGGCAGCAGUGGGGAAUAUUGCACAAUGGGCGAAAGCCUGAUGCAGCAACGCCGCGUGGGGGAUGACGGCCUUCGGGUUGUAAACCUCUUUUAGUAGGGAAGAAGGGCUUCGGCUUGACGGUACCUGCAGAAAAAGCACCGGCUAACUACGUGCCAGCAGCCGCGGUAAUACGUAGGGUGCAAGCGUUGUCCGGAAUUAUUGGGCGUAAAGAGCUCGUAGGCGGUUUGUCGCGUCUGCUGUGAAAACCCGAGGCUCAACCUCGGGCCUGCAGUGGGUACGGGCAGACUAGAGUGCGGUAGGGGAGAAUGGAAUUCCUGGUGUAGCGGUGGAAUGCGCAGAUAUCAGGAGGAACACCGAUGGCGAAGGCAGUUCUCUGGGCCGUUACUGACGCUGAGGAGCGAAAGCGUGGGGAGCGAACAGGAUUAGAUACCCUGGUAGUCCACGCCGUAAACGUUGGGAACUAGAUGUGGGGACCUUUCCACGGUCUCCGUGUCGCAGCUAACGCAUUAAGUUCCCCGCCUGGGGAGUACGGCCGCAAGGCUAAAACUCAAAGGAAUUGACGGGGGCCCGCACAAGCGGCGGAGCAUGCGGAUUAAUUCGAUGCAACGCGAAGAACCUUACCAAGGCUUGACAUAUACCGGAAACUUCCAGAAAUGGUUGCCCCGCAAGGUCGGUAUACAGGUGGUGCAUGGUUGUCGUCAGCUCGUGUCGUGAGAUGUUGGGUUAAGUCCCGCAACGAGCGCAACCCUCGUUCUAUGUUGCCAGCACGUCAUGGUGGGAACUCAUAGGAGACUGCCGGGGUCAACUCGGAGGAAGGUGGGGAUGACGUCAAAUCAUCAUGCCCCUUAUGUCUUGGGCUUCACGCAUGCUACAAUGGCCGGUACAAAGGGCUGCGAUACCGUAAGGUGGAGCGAAUCCCAAAAAGCCGGUCUCAGUUCGGAUUGAGGUCUGCAACUCGACCUCAUGAAGUCGGAGUCGCUAGUAAUCGCAGAUCAGCAACGCUGCGGUGAAUACGUUCCCGGGCCUUGUACACACCGCCCGUCAAGUCAUGAAAGUCGGUAACACCCGAAGCCAGUGGCCUAACCGCAAGGA